rnacentral:tRNA from 1 species
GCCCCUGGGUGGUACAGUUAACACAAUUGGCUGCUAAUAGAAAGGCUGGAGGUUCAAGUCCUCCCAGAGGCA